rnacentral:misc_RNA from 1 species
UAAAGAACGCCCUCCAAAUCUUAUUCAAAAACAACUAUGCAAAUUUCAUCUCACAGAAAUUUAUCUCAGGAAGUGCAGGCUCUUGAAGUUGAUCCAGGCAGGCAAGCAUGGAUGUCAUCACAACCACACAACAACUUCCCAUUCAGAGUGUCCACUGCUUGGAAUGAUCCUCCUCCUUCACUUCUCUUGUAAUAAUCAACAGCAACAAAAUUAGCCCAUCUUUUGCCAGAAGCACCAUAACAAGUGUGAAGCAUAUUUAUGAGAUCCCCGGAGUUAUCUUGACAUGUGAGUUCCUUCAUGGGAAUAGACCCGAAGUAAUUUACUAACACCAAGGAUUUGCUCUUGUCAUCAAGGGAACUUGAUUCUCCUCUAUUUGAACAACUUCCUGCCUUCAUUCCAUCUUCCCCAUAGUGAUUUUCAACCAUGUAAUUCCAUUGGUAAGCAAUUCCUUCACUUUCUUCCUUGGAUUUAAUUGAAGUGAACACAAGGAGCCUCUGGUUAUUUUUAACCAUGUCACUGACUAGAGGCCAAUCUUGGCCAUUUUUAGGCAUGCUUGUGACUGGAAACCAGUAUUUCAUCAACCCAGCAUCGGUGAACACUUUUGUCAGUCCAUUAGGGGCUUGAACAUAGUCUUCUAAGAUUAUUGUCACAAUUUCUGAUGGAUUUGCUGAUAAGAAAGCUUCAAUUUCCUUUAGUGUGUCAAUAGCAGGACCAAAUGCAGUGUAGUCAUAACAUUGCCCUUUAAAUGAAUGGCACAACCAUACAUCAUCACGAAAAUCAUACGUAUCAAGCAUCAAGGCUCGAGCUCCAUUAUUUAGCUGCUGAGUGACACUGUCUUCUUGAUUGGUGAAAGUGACUCUAGGAACUCCAGUGUGAGAUGGAUAUCCAUCAAUUGCAUAGGCAUUGUGGGUUGUCAAAAAUGCAUAUUUGUUGAAUGGCAGAGAAUUAUUC